rnacentral:lncRNA from 1 species
GUCCUGAGUUCGAUGCCCAGUACCAAAAAAAAAUUGGGUAUUUUGUCCUAGCACAGGAAAUCUGACCAAUACAUCAAUAUCAGGUUUUCUGCUACAGCAGCACAAAGUUAGACUAAUAACCCUAUUAGAGAAGGAAGACAGGUGGAGAGUUUGAAAAGGAAACAAAGGAGCAGGAACUGUGUAGCUAGCCCAUCUGAAGGUCAAUAAGUGCCCUGUGGUUGGGGAUUGAAAAGACCUUGAUUUCUGGGCAAAGCCUAGGCAAGAAGCAAGCCUCAUAGAAAAUCUCCCACCAGGAUGGUGCAGAUAUGGAGCAGACAUAGCAGUGGAGCCUGUCUAGGCUUGAGAUCAGAACAGAUUCUAGAAGCUUGUACACCCUACUGCUGUAGAGAGAUGGGGAUCUUAUGACUGAGAGAGGAGGGGAUACAAUGGCAGAUUGUGAGCAUGGAGAAGAAUCCCUUCCCAGCUCCUAUUCAUACAUCACUCCCACUGCUGAAUUUCCACUCCCUUCCAUCCCAGCUGAGGGCAGGAUGGCUCAUCUCCCACCUAGAAAAGAAGUCACACAGAACAAAGCAAACAAAAACCAAGAAGAGGCUGUCCUCUCCCCCGUUACUGCUCCAUGACAGUUACAUAAUUCCCUCAGCAAGAGAGAGGUAAAGAACUGGGAAAAGCACAGAAUUCGAUUAUUACUGGAAUUAACCUGGAAAUGACAUUUUUUUUGCUUCUGAUCUGAGGCUUAAGAAGUAAAUUUAGUUCAGUUAGAGAAAAAUGAAGUUGUAUUUUUCCAUAUCUGAGUACAAGCAACUGUAUGUACUAUUUGAAAAUUUGGAAAAACUGGAGUAUACAAGAGAACAGUUGAAUAUUAUGUCUUUAAUGCGUAUAAAUAUGACAUAACAGCAUGAAGAUGUUUAUGAUUUAAUGUUAAGUGAAAAGAAGAAUAUAAAAAGGGAUGUCCUAAUUUUUAAAAAUACAUGCUGUUUAUACAGCAACAGUGUUUAAAAGAAAAAACUUCAAAACAUAUUCUGUAGUAGAAAUAAAAUUUGGAAAGUAAAGACAAUACAAUAUUAAAUGGUUGUCUUUGGAGAGCUGUGGGUAAUUAUUUUUUCUUCUUUCUAUUUUUUCUGAUUUUCCUCCAUAGCAUGUAUUUUUUAAUAAUGAAAGUUAUGCAUAUACAUACAUAUACAUUAUAUAUUUAAAGUACACCUAUUUAAAUAUGUAUGUGUGUGUAUUUCUUAAGUCAUGGUUUUUUCCAUGCUUUGAAGAGACUGGAGAAAAGGAGGAGGAGAAUCAAAGGGAUUUUCCAGGCCCUGUUUAACUCUGUCCCUCUCGUGGCUCUCAGUCAUCAGUUAUCUCAUUCUUACCUGGUAGGUAAUUGUUGGGUGAUGUCAUGGACAAGGUGAGCCAAGAAAGAUGGCCCUGAUGAAUGGGAGGCUUUGUUCGUGGAAAAGUCAAGAAACCUGUAGAGUCUGAAUUCCGUUCUCAAAGUGUGACCCUCUAAUCCCUUUCCACCUUUUCUUCAUUGCUUGUCAGAAAUGCAAAUUGUCAGGACCCACGACAGACCUACUGAAUCAGGAUUGAACUCGGGACCUUGCGCUUGCAAGGCAGGCACCGGAACCACUGAGCUAAAUCCUUGGCCCCAGACAACAAUUCUGACAGUGGAGCUGCCAAGUGAUUGAAGAGGGGAAAGCAAGUUGCUCCAGAACCUGGGAAGAAGCAAAAGGCUGGUGGGACUUUGAGAGCUCCGUUGUCUCCUGGGCACAGCAGGAGCAGCAGCAGUGAAAACAACAUGUUCCUGAGUGGGGAAGCAAGGUACUUCAUGCACAGGGUUUGUAAGGAAGGAGAUAACUGUCGUUACUCGCAGGACACCUCUCGGACAAUCCCUACGGUAUACUAUGCAAUUAUUUCCAGCAAGAGUACUGCGUGUAUGGAGAUGGCUACACAUAUGAGCACCGCAAGCCAUUGAAACAGGAAGAAGCAGUAGCUAUAGAUCUAACUGCAAAAGCACCCCUUGCCGCUGCCUCGAGUUCCUCCUCCGUCGCUGAAGCUCUCAGGGAGAUGAAUACAGGCGAGGCUGAGUCCAGAAAUGCAAAUUCCCCGCCCUAGGUACAGUACAGGGUCAGAGGACUGGGUGAAUGCCAUUGAGUUCUGCCCAGCCAGCCCUACUGUGACCACGCCGCCCCUGCCUGCACAAAGGUCCUGGUGCAGGGAUCAGUGCCCAAGGCAGAGUCUGAGGAGCUGGCUACGUGGAGACCGAGAAGCAGCUCUGCCCCUAAGCGCUGUGGGAGAACUGCGUGUGGUGACACCUGGGACAUGUGCGGGCUGCAGGUCCAGCUCCUGGUGGAUACAGUCCAGAGGUCCCAGCAAAUAAAAUCUUGCAUCGAGGCCCAUGAGAAGGACAUGGAGCUGUCCUUUUCGGUGCAGUGCAGCAAGGACAUGGUGUGUGGCAUCUGCAUGGGGUACGAGAAAGCCAACCCCAGUGAGCGCCGCUUCGGCAUCCUCUCCAGCUGAGACCAUACCUGGUGUCUCAAGUGUAUUCGAAAGUGGAGGAGUGCUAAGCAUUUUGAGAACAAGAUCAUAAAGUUCUGGGCUGAAUGCCAGAUCACAUCUACAUUUGUCAUUCCAAGUGAGUGCUGGGUGGAGGAGAAAGAGAAGCAGAAACUCAUUCAGAAAUACAAGGAGGCAAUGAGCAAAGGCAUGCAGGUAUUUUGAUGAAGGCCAUGGGAGCUGCCCAUUUGGAGGAAACUGUUACUAAAUUUUUUUUUUUGGUAUAGGGGAUUGAACUUGGGACCUUGCACUUGCAAAGCAGGUGCCGGAACCACUGAGCUAAUUCCCCAGCCCUUGGAGGAAACUGUUUUUACAAGCAUGGGAACCCUGAUGACUUAAAGAGGAGCCACAGAGACAGAAAGUGGGAACAUCAAGCAGAUACUGGGUCCAACAGAGGAACCACUUCUGGGAGCUCACUGAGGAAAGAGAGAACAGAAGCCCCUUUGACAAUGAUGAAGAAGAGGCUGUCACCUUUGAGCUGGAUAAGAUGUUGCUUAUGCUUUUGGCUGCAAGUGGGGGCAAUGAACUGACUGACACUGACAACGAGUGGGACUUGUUUCACGAUAAGUUGGAAGACUUUUGUGACUUGGACCUCUACCGGCUUUGCAUGGCCUGGGAUCGGCCUACCGAGCCUCAAACAGUAGAUGUCCCCUGUGCCGUAUGGCAGUGAGUUGCUCUCCUACUCAGGCCUCAACUCCAGGUGCUGUCGUGACCACUUACCGGGUCCUACCCCACCCCACUUCCCCAAGACUGUGUCAUUUUCUUGGUUGCAAAAAGUUACAAAAACAAAUCUUCAAGUUAGAAAAAAAAAAGAACCAGUAUAGCUGAACAUGGUGGCACACACUUGUAGCAAGAUCCUGUCACAAAGUAAAAUGGGCUGGGGAAGUAGGUCAGUGAUAGAAAGUCUCCUGGGUCCCAUCCCCAGAAAUGGGGGGAAAACAUCAGAGUGGUACAUUGGCUUCUACUGAAGACAUUGAAUAUUAGAUCACUAUGAAGUUUUGAAUUUAAAACUUAUGGGGGAACAUGAUGUUUAUAUUUAUCCUAAAUAACUAUGUAAAGGUAGUAUAGAGACAUGCAAGUGCUCUGAUGUUUUACUUCCCCAGCACUCAGUCCUAGGACACUCCUGGAGGAUACAUUUUAGCAAAAUGAGGAUGCGUGAUAUGAAAGGAAAAGCUCUGCACCAUGGAAACUGGAGAAACCCAGAGGAGCAAUGAGGACAGGCCCAGCAAGACCCAUGGCAUAGGGUUGUACAAGAAAGAAAACAGAGUAAUGGAAGUCACCAUAAUACCUAAAAUUGAUGAACUAUGACAUAGUAGCAUGUGCAUACUAUUUAGAAAAGUGGAAGAAAACAAGAAAAAAACAUUUCAGAGAGUUGAAAUUGGUUGGUCCUGGAGGAUGGGUAAAGGACAGUUGUGUUUUGUCAUGAAUCUGUGGCCUUUUUGUUUUUAUCUAUGUACAUUACUUGAUAAAAAUGGGAACACUUAUGUACUGCUGAUCCAAAUGUAAGAUGGUGCAGCCAUUAACCUUAGAAAGUUAAACACAGUUACACUAUGUCAGGGUUUGGAGGUGCUAUGUUGCUAUGUCCUCCAGGGCUCAGGGGCUUGGUCUCUACUGCAGCAAUAUUCAGAGAGGGUACUUUUUGGAACCAGAUGGAUCAUGAGGACUCUAACUUCAUCAAUGGAUAAAUCCAUUAAUGAAUUCAUAGCUCAAUGAGCUUAUUAGGAAGUGGAGUCUAGUUGGAAGAAGCAAGUCACUGGGGGUAUGGCUUUGAAGGGUGUAUUUUGUUCCCAGCCCCUUCCUCUCCAGCUCACUCUGCUUACUGACUGCCUUGAUGUGAGCAGCUUUAUUCUGCCAUGCCCUUGUGCCAUUCCUUGUGCUACGGAAUACAGAAUACAGCAAUGGAAGCAGAUACCAUAGACUGACACUUCCGAAACUGUGAGUCAAAAUUAACAUUCUUCCUUUAAGCUGAUUUUCUCAGGUAUUAUAUAACAGUGACAAGAAAGUUAAUACAGCAUACAACCCUGCAAUUUCAUUCCUAGCUAUAUAGCCAAGACAGGUGUUUGCAGGAAUAGUUCUGUAGCAUUCAUAAUAACCAAAAAUGCAAACAAUACAAAUGUUCAUCAGUUGAUGAACAGAGAAAUAAAAUGUGGUAUGUACAUCCAUACAAUGGAAGACUAUUCUGUAAAAAGGAAGGAAAUACUGAUACAUAUUACAACAUGGUGAAACACAAAAGGCCGCAUAUUAUAUAAUUCCAUUAAUGUCAAGUGUUCAGAAUAGGCAACUCUAUAUACACAAAGUUAAUUGAGUAGAUUAGAGAUGUAGCUCAGUGACAGAGUGUGUGCUUAGAAUGGACAAGGGCCUGGAUCUGAGCACUGCUAAAAAGAGUUUAUUGGUUAGCUAAGGGUAGGGGGAGGAAGAGAUGAGGAGUAACUGCUAAGGAGUAUGGGAGUUCUUUUUUGGGGUAAUGAAAGUGUUCUUAGGGCCAGGGAUUUAGCUCAGUGUUUCCAUCACCUGCCUUGUAAGCACAAGGUUCCGAGUUUGAUCCCCAGUACCCCCAAAAAAGUGUUCAUGUGAUGUUUGCACAACAUUGUGAAUAUAUUUUAAAACUACUAAACUGCAC